UUGUUGAAAAUAAAUAAAUAAAUAAAUAAUGGAGAAGGAAAGAUUUGAAGUUUUAAUUAUUCCAUAACCGUUACGAGGCAAAUGUUGUUCUUCCUUAUUCCCCCCGAAAAAACAUAACCUUCACCCCUCACCUUUAAACCACCGACCCACCUCGUCUUUUCACUAAAAUUUUCCCUUCUACUUCGCAUAAUCUGAAGCUCAUGUCUAUGGAGCCUGAAAGAUCCAAGCCACUGCACAACUUCUCCAUGCCCUAUCUCACAUGGGGUUCACAAAGAUUCCUCAAGUGUAUCAACCUUCCUUCCAACUCCAAUAACUCCAACCCCACGAACUUCACCAACCUUUCUUCUCCGAUGAAUCAUGUAACACACAAACCAAGUAACCGGAACAACCAUCGAACCAGUUCCAUCGAGGAAUCGAAGAAACCCAAAUUUUCAAUCGUUGGUGAAGCGGGCGGAGACGAAUCCCCUGCGGCAAGGCCGUGGAAUUUGAGGACUCGCUGAGCAGCUUGUAAGGGUCCUGAAGAUGAGAGGAAUUUGGAAUUGGGUUCAUCUAAGAAUGAAAAGGAGAAGAAUCGGAGUGCGUUGAUUGUAUCCCUAUCGAAAGAGGAGAUCGAAGAGGACUUUGGGGUGCUGGUCGGUAGGCUACCGAGGAGGCCAAAGAAGAGGCCUAGAGCUGUACAAAAGCAAUUGGAUACGCUUUUUCCUGGGCUGUUUCUUACUCAAAUUACUCCGGAUUCCUAUAAACUGGCUGAUUAAAAGCUUCGAAUUGUUUUCUGUUACAAUAAUGGAAGUGUAAAUAAUUACCAAAAUCAAAUUUGAAGUAACUUUAAAUUUUGUUUGCUUGGGUGUUCUGUUCACUGUAUAAGGCUUACUGGUUCUUGA